GGAUUAGAUACCCUGGUAGUCCACACUGUAAACGAUGAGUGCUAGAUAUUGGGUUUUAUUAUUCAGUGUCGUAGCUAACGCGUUAAGCACUCCGCCUGGGGACUACGGUCGCAAGACUAAAACUCAAAGGAAUUGACGGGGGCCCGCACAAGCGGUGGAGCAUGUGGUUUAAUUCGAUGCUACGCGAAAAACCUUACCAACCCUUGAAAUGAUAGGUCGCGGAAUCCAGAGAUGGAUUUCUUCAGUUCGGCUGGACUUAUCACAGGUGUUGCAUGGCUGUCGUCAGCUCGUGCCG
rnacentral:rRNA from 1 species